AAAGGAAGAGUGCAUUUAUUAUUACUUGAACGAUUUGGUACGCUUGCCAAUCCGUCAACAAUGUCUAGUCACCAUCCUCUUCCAUAGCAGCAUCCAUCAAUAGAUGCUCUCUUAGAUUCUUCCAACAUCCAUCAGUAGAUGCGAAUCUUUCUCAUCAACAUCCUUCAAUAGAUGUUAAUAUUUUUCCUCUUCAUUAGCAUCCAUCAGUAGAUGUUGUUAGUACUGCCAUCAGAAGUAAUGUAUAACCUAAAAAAGAACUCAAACACACAGAAACAAAAUCAAAUCCAAACCACACAAAUAAUAAAAUAAAAAAAGAUUAAAAUAAAAUAAAACAAAACAAAAUAAAAUAAAAUGAAAUGAAAUAAAAUCAAAUAAAGAAAAAUAAAAUAAAAUAAAAUAAAAUAAAAUCAACCAAAUUAAACCAAAUAAAAUAAAAUAAAAUAAAAUAAAAUGAAAUAAAAUGAAAUAAAAUUAACUAAAAUAAAUAAAAAUAUAGAAUCAAAUAAAAUAAAAGGAAAAAAAUAGAUUGAAACAAAAGAUAAAAAAAUUCAGGAACUGGUUUCAAGAUAUUUUUUUUUCUUUUUGUUGAUUUUUUUUAGGAACUUAAUAUACCCAGGAACCUGUUGUAGUGUCCCAAUCAUAGGAACUUUAAUCUCCAAUUUCUUGAAAAUUUCCAUGAAAUGCUCAAACUGUUUCUCUUUUUCCUUCCUAUGAUCCUUCUUUGGGUGGGGAAGGGGUUUUUCAUAUGAUUCUUUCUUUUUGCUUUCAUCCUUCCCCUUUCUCUUUUUCUCUCAUGGAUACUCCUUAGGGCACAAAGGACUUUUCUUUUCUCUCUCAACCUUUUCUUUUUCUUCUCUCUCAUCUUCUUCCUUUUCUACCUCUUCCUAUUUCUCUCUCAAACUUUCUUCUUCUUCUCUCUCUAUUUUUAUCUCAUCCUCUUUCUCUUCUUCUUCUUGUUCUUCAUGGCUCGAACUCUCUUCUUUUCUCUCUAUUUUUCUCUCAUCCUCUCUCUUUUCUUCUUUUUCUCUUUCCUCAUCUGGAACUUUGUCACUUUCAAUGACAACAUCUUUGCAUUUCUUACCAGGGUCAUAUCUCAAAUAACUCCCAAAAUUAUCCAACUCUUGAAUUAUGAAUUUACACUGUACUUCCAUCCUUUCAGAUGCUGCUUGUGUGCUUUCCUGAAUUGAGCGAGAUUCCUGCAUGAACCACUAGAGAGUCUCCUCAAGCUUUCUAGUAUUGUCGGCUUAUGGUG
rnacentral:lncRNA from 1 species